rnacentral:lncRNA from 1 species
UGUGUGUGUGUGUGUGAGAGAGAGAGAGAGAGAGAGAGAGCGAGCUAGCUAGGCACACCCAUCACUGGACUGAACUUUCAUGGAACAACUAGUUCAACAACAUCAUACAUUACAACAAGUCCAAAGCAAAAGAUACGAAUUAUACAUGCUAUGACAUCCCGAAUAACGGUGCACAACAAGUUCAAUCCUUCCCAAAUCUCAAAGGUACUGGAAAUCUAAGAUGAACCGGACUGCUCAGAGACAAAGCGACACUAGAAGGUCCAUCGAUCCGUCGAUCGGCCAUGGUACCGGACACUAAACUAGGUGCAUGGUCUCUACUGGUUGCCCUUGCCGUUGAUGACUCUGACAUUGUUCACACCUGCAGCUUUCUCAUUCUGGAUCGCUCCGUCCUUCGGGGGAUCAAACUUGCAAAUUAAUCGAUGAGGCAAAUCUUUUACCUCCGUUUAGAAAAAAAGUUGCGACCUCUGCUUCCCCGGUGGCGGCGGGUCAACGAUCUCCAGCAUGCUCUCCAGUUCCUCCAGCAUAUAUUUUUUUGCCGUCCUCACCAUGAAGUCGGGUUCCUGGGUGCAGAGAGAAUAAGACUAAUGGCCAAGAGCUAAGGUUACUAAAGGUAACACAGGGUUAGAAAGCAGCCCAUAAAGGAAAAUUGUGCCAAGCAACAUUAGUUUUGACAACUAAGGUUACUGAAAGGUAACACAGGGUUAGAAAGCAGCCAUAAAGUUUGAUUUAUGUUUUAUUUCUUGAUAUGCAGUCUGCUUGUUAAGAUGCAAUAAUCCAAUAAAUCUAAGAGAUGGCAAAGCUGACAAGCACAUGUGGAGGUUCGUUCCUAUUUAUGUCUCCUACGUAUGAGAUGCAAUAAUCCAAUAAAUCUAAGAGAUGGCAAAGCUGACAAGCACAUGUGGAGGUUCGUUCCUAUUUAUGUCUCCUACAUAAACUACUACCUCUCUCAGUUUACUGGACGUGCGCGUGCCCCUAGGUCGUUAAUUUGAUCAACUUAAUACAAGUCAUAUAUUACAAAAAAUAUACCAAUAUAAACUUCAGAUGCUCUAUUUUCAAACCGUAUAAUUUUUGUGUUAUAUAGUUUAUACUAAGGUGAUAAAAUUGACAACCUAGGUAUACGCGUAGGACUUCUAAACUGAAACGGAGGUAGUAGAUUUUAUCACGGAACUACAUAAAUGUGAUGAACUGUUGGUUUAGCCCUACUUUGAUUGGAGCAGACUUUAAGGGGCUGUUUGGUUCGGCGCCGUCGCCAGCCCUGCCAAAACAUGGGCAUUGACCGAGGCUUUGCGUGCUGUUUGGAUGAGAUCCAAAAAAUUGGCACGCCAGCACACCUCCACUUUUCCCCUGUAGUUUUACGCCUAUUCGUUGGCUGGGCGAGGGUGGCUGAAACGCUCGCCAAGUUUCUGGCACGCCCACGACACCUAUGAUUUGGCAGGGUGCACAUGGGCAUGAACCAAACAGCCCCUAAGUUAGUUAGAUCCUCCCCUGAUAAGACUAAUGGGGUGUUUGAUCAACGUUGGGUAGAUUAAUUCAAUGACUGGAUCAAUUGUUUUGGUUUUGCUUGUUUAUUAGUCGAUGGUGGCGUGGGUUGUCGGGCCUACCAUUUUUACAAUUGAAUGAUAGUGAAUUCAGAAAUAUAUUGAGGCAAAGAAAUGUAAGUUAUUAUGUGUUAUUCAUAAGUAACCACAAAUCUAAAGUAACCAUAAAUAUAAUGUUAGGAUUAAUUAACAUGUGGAUAAUUUAUCCAAACAUUAUUCAUACAUUCCUCUCUCUCCUUGUUAUGCAAUAAUCCAAUAAUUCUACAAGAAAAUAAGUUAGUAGGGAUCCAAAGCGGCGUUCGAUCAACCCCACUACCUAUUAAACGGCCAAUACUAUAUGACGCCCGUGUACAUUAUACGAGGAUGCUUCGCUGAAGAAACCGCUAGAUGGACCGGCCCGCUUAACUAGCUGCUUCUGUUACGGGUUUUUUACUUUAUUUAUUUUUUUUCCAUUUUUUUUACUUUUGCAGAUCUUGGGUUGACGGUUAUUUCCGGUUUUCAAUUUUUGCACAUUUUUCUAAUUUUGAAGGUUUGCACUAUACGGCGAAAAUUUUCAAAUGCACACUAAACAUGUUUUAGCAUAUGGUGAUUUUUUUCAAAUAGAAUAACUUAUUUAGUAUUCAGUGAACAUUUUUUUAAACACACACUGAACAUUUUAUAUACAUGAUGAAUAUUUAUUUAUUUCAAUUAAACAUUUGUUUCAUAUAUAAUAAACAUUUUUUAAUUCACACCAAACAUUUUCUGAAUAAAUGGUGAAGUUUUUAAAUAUACACAGUACUUUUAUAAAACAUAUACCAAAAACUUUUUUGAAAUAAAAUUUUGUAUUUUUACUAGUUAUAAAAAAUUAUUUUCUAGAGAACAAUAGUUUUUUUUUCAGUGAAAAAACCGAAGAAAACAAUGAAGAGGAAAAUAUAAACAAAGAGCUCGUGGCUAAAGUUGGCUAGCCCCUUCACGUAGGGUGCGCCAUGUCUCGCUUAUAGUGACACUUAAGUUGCGCUCACGGCAAUAGGCUCCUUAAAGGGCCCGGCCUAGUGAGGGUGGCCACAGGCCACUGCCUCGUUUUUUCUCUCUAUUAUGUUCCUGCUUAUUAUUAUUAUUAUUAUUAUUACUUGCUUUAUUUUUAUUUUUUUAAAAUUCAAAAUAUUUUAAAUAUAUAUAGUACCAAAAACAUUUGGAAACAUGCUAACCAACCAUUUGUAAAAAAAAUGUGAAUGGAAAAAAAUUCUCAUGUAUAUGUAAAAUGAAUGCAAAAAAUAUACAAUGUGUAUGGAAACAGUUAAUCAUGUAUUUACAAACAUGUUAAUUAAUCACUUGAAAAAUGUUAAUCAAGCAUUUGAAAAAGACUAAAUGUGUAUAUAAAUAUUGUUUUCAUGUAUAUGACAAAUAUGUACAAAACAAUCAAUGUGUACGAAAAAAUUGAGUAUCAUGUAUUUAUAAAAUGUUAAAUGUGUAUAAAAAUGUUCCUGGCAAGCAAACAAAUAUUCAUUGUGUGUGAAAAUUAUUUUUGUCACUAAAAAAUACUCUCCGUGUAUUGAAUUUUUGACUAUGUAUUGAAAAAAUGUUAAUCUUCUAUUUUUAAAUAUAAAAUCUGUAUAUAAAAUGUAUUACAUAUAUAUACAAAAAAUGUACAAUGUGCAUAGGAAAAAAUAUAAAUAAGGAAUUGGCUUUUCAAAAAUGUUAAACAUGUAUAUAAAAUAUGUUUCUAAUGUAUAUGGAAAAUAUAGAAUGUGUAUUAAGAAAAGUUGGCAUGUGUUUUACAAAAAGAAAACUGAUGAGAAUCGACCAAGAUACAUAGAAAAACGAAGAAACCCUAUAAAAAGUAAAAAAAACAAAGAAAACAAAUGUAGAAGAGUGAAAACCGAGAAAGAGACAAAGAAAAACGAAGAAAACCGUUGAAACUAACAAAGAAAACUAAAGAAAGAAACCAAAAACCGAAGAGAAGAAGCAAACAAGAAAACCCGAGAAAAAAUGUGCAAAAAAGAAACCGAGGAAUGAACAAAAGGAAACCAAAAAUAAAGCAAGAAAAAUGGAGAAAACCAGUGCAAAAAGAAAAAGGAAACAGGUAAACAAUAGUAAGAAACAAAGAAAACCCAAGAAAACCAAAAAGAUAAAAAAAUGAAAGAAAAAAUAGAAGAUAACCAGACUGCAGACAGCAAGUGAGAAGCGAACGAUCGAACCAAUACAACAAACGAGUUACAAGCGAGGAGAAGAAAUGUGGAGAAAAUACUUACAAGUUAGAAAUAAUGUGUUUCCCUAUGCAACAUAAGAAAAAUCAAAACAUGAGGGUCUUUGGCAAGUGGGCCUUUGGCACUUUGUCGCGCAGGAGGCCGCUCGGGAUAUCCGUAUACAAGUUAAAAUAAUGUGUUUUCAACCCCUCAAAAAAAAUGUGUUUUCACCCCUAAAAAAACCAGGACUGAACUUCCAUGGAGCUCAAAACAUGCGGGCGACAGCCAGAAGAGAAGCUGAUAAUUAAAGCACCAAACUCUUCUACUGGUAGUUCAACAACAGCAUACAUUACAACAAGUCCAAACAAACGAUAUGGAUCAUACACGCUACGACAUCCCGAAUGAUGGUACACAACAAGUUCAAUCUUUCUCAAAUCUCAAAGACACUGGAAAUCUAAGAUGAACCGGACUAUCUAACAGACAAAGCGGCGCUACAAGCUCCAUCAAUCGACAAUGGUACCGGCCACUAAACUAGGCGCUAGUGCCUACUGCUUGCCCUUGCCAGUGUUGAUGACCCUGACCGCGUUGUUCACACCCGCAGUUUUCUCAUUCGGGAUCGCUCCGCCCUCCGGAAGAUCAAACUUGCGGCGGCUGAACGACCUCUGCUUCCCUGGAGGCUGCGGGUCCACGAUCUCCAGCAUGCUCUCGAGUUCCUCCAGCAUAG